rnacentral:rRNA from 1 species
AUUGAACGCUGGCGGCAUGCCUAACACAUGCAAGUCGAACGGUAACAGGCCUUCGGGCGCUGACGAGUGGCGGACGGGUGAGUAACGCGUGGGAAUCUGCCUAGUAGUGGGGGACAACCUGGGGAAACUCAGGCUAAUACCGCAUACGCCCUACGGGGGAAAGCGGGGGAUCUUCGGACCUCGUGCUAUUAGAUGAGUCUGCGUCGGAUUAGCUUGUUGGUGGGGUGAUGGCCUACCAAGGCUACGAUCCGUAGCUGGUCUGAGAGGAUGAUCAGCCACACUGGGACUGAGACACGGCCCAGACUCCUACGGGAGGCAGCAGUGGGGAAUAUUGCACAAUGGGCGCAAGCCUGAUGCAGCCAUGCCGCGUGUGUGAAGAAGGCCUUAGGGUUGUAAAGCACUUUCAGCAGUGAGGAAAGGGGUGUCGUUAAUAGCGCCAUCCUGUGACGUUAACUGCAGAAGAAGGACCGGCUAACUCCGUG